rnacentral:rRNA from 1 species
GAUGAACGCUGGCGGCGUGCCUAAUACAUGCAAGUCGAGCGAACGGACGAGAAGCUUGCUUCUCUGAUGUUAGCGGCGGACGGGUGAGUAACACGUGGAUAACCUACCUAUAAGACUGGGAUAACUUCGGGAAACCGGAGCUAAUACCGGAUAAUAUUUUGAACCGCAUGGUUCAAAAGUGAAAGACGGUCUUGCUGUCACUUAUAGAUGGAUCCGCGCUGCAUUAGCUAGUUGGUAAGGUAACGGCUUACCAAGGCAACGAUGCAUAGCCGACCUGAGAGGGUGAUCGGCCACACUGGAACUGAGACACGGUCCAGACUCCUACGGGAGGCAGCAGUAGGGAAUCUUCCGCAAUGGGCGAAAGCCUGACGGAGCAACGCCGCGUGAGUGAUGAAGGUCUUCGGAUCGUAAAACUCUGUUAUUAGGGAAGAACAUAUGUGUAAGUAACUGUGCACAUCUUGACGGUACCUAAUCAGAAAGCCACGGCUAACUACGUGCCAGCAGCCGCGGUAAUACGUAGGUGGCAAGCGUUAUCCGGAAUUAUUGGGCGUAAAGCGCGCGUAGGCGGUUUUUUAAGUCUGAUGUGAAAGCCCACGGCUCAACCGUGGAGGGUCAUUGGAAACUGGAAAACUUGAGUGCAGAAGAGGAAAGUGGAAUUCCAUGUGUAGCGGUGAAAUGCGCAGAGAUAUGGAGGAACACCAGUGGCGAAGGCGACUUUCUGGUCUGUAACUGACGCUGAUGUGCGAAAGCGUGGGGAUCAAACAGGAUUAGAUACCCUGGUAGUCCACGCCGUAAACGAUGAGUGCUAAGUGUUAGGGGGUUUCCGCCCCUUAGUGCUGCAGCUAACGCAUUAAGCACUCCGCCUGGGGAGUACGACCGCAAGGUUGAAACUCAAAGGAAUUGACGGGGACCCGCACAAGCGGUGGAGCAUGUGGUUUAAUUCGAAGCAACGCGAAGAACCUUACCAAAUCUUGACAUCCUUUGACAACUCUAGAGAUAGAGCUUUCCCCUUCGGGGGACAAAGUGACAGGUGGUGCAUGGUUGUCGUCAGCUCGUGUCGUGAGAUGUUGGGUUAAGUCCCGCAACGAGCGCAACCCUUAAGCUUAGUUGCCAUCAUUAAGUUGGGCACUCUAAGUUGACUGCCGGUGACAAACCGGGGGAAGGUGGGGAUGACGUCAAAUCAUCAUGCCCCUUAUGAUUUGGGCUACACACGUGCUACAAUGGACAAUACAAAGGGCAGCGAAACCGCGAGGUCAAGCAAAUCCCAUAAAGUUGUUCUCAGUUCGGAUUGUAGUCUGCAACUCGCCUACAUGAAGCUGGAAUCGCUAGUAAUCGUAGAUCAGCAUGCUACGGUGAAUACGUUCCCGGGUCU